rnacentral:tRNA from 1 species
GGGGUAGUAGCUCAGUGCUAGAGCUUCCGCUUCGCAUGUGGGAAGACCUUGGUUCGAUUUCCGGCUGCUUCC